AGCCAUGCAUGUCUAAGUAUAAGCAAUUAUACCGCGAAACUGCGAAUGGCUCAUUAUAUAAGUUAUCGUUUAUUUGAUAAUACUUUACUACUUGGAUAACCGUGGUAAUUCUAGAGCUAAUACAUGCUAAAAAUCCCGACUUCGGAAGGGUUGUAUUUAUUAGAUUAAAAACCAAUGCCCCUCGGGGCUCUCUGGUGAAUCAUGAUAACUAGUCGAAUCGACAGGCCUUAUGCCGGCGAUGGCUCAUUCAAAUUUCUUCCCUAUCAACUUUCGAUGUUUGGGUCUUGUCCAAACAUGGUGGCAACGGGUAACGGAGGGUUAGGGCUCGACCCCGGAGAAGGAGCCUGAGAAACGGCUACUACAUCCAAGGAAGGCAGCAGGCGCGCAAAUUACCCAAUCCCGACACGGGGAGGUAGUGACAAUAAAUACUGAUACAGGGCUCUUUUGGGUCUUGUAAUCGGAAUGAGUACAAUUUAAAUCCCUUAACGAGGAACAAUUGGAGGGCAAGUCUGGUGCCAGCAGCCGCGGUAAUUCCAGCUCCAAUAGCGUAUAUUAAAGUUGUUGUGGUUAAAAAGCUCGUAGUUGAACCUUGGGCCUGGCUGGCCGGUCCGCCUCACCGCGUGCACUGGUCCGGCCGGGCCUUUCCCUCUGCGGAACCCCAUGCCCUUCACUGGGUGUGGCGGGGAAACAGGACUUUUACUUUGAAAAAAUUAGAGUGCUCAAGGCAGGCCUAUGCUCGAAUACAUUAGCAUGGAAUAAUAGAAUAGGACGUGUGGUUCUAUUUUGUUGGUUUCUAGGACCGCCGUAAUGAUUAAUAGGGACAGUCGGGGGCAUCAGUAUUCAAUUGUCAGAGGUGAAAUUCUUGGAUUUAUUGAAGACUAACUACUGCGAAAGCAUUUGCCAAGGAUGUUUUCAUUAUCAGAAC
rnacentral:rRNA from 1 species